rnacentral:rRNA from 1 species
UGAGGAAUAUUGCGCAAUGGGGGAAACCCUGACGCAGCGACGCCGCGUGGGUGAAGAAGGCCUUCGGGUUGUAAAGCCCUGUCAGGUGGGAAGAAGUGUGUCAUGGCUAAUAUCCAUGGCAUUUGACGGUACCACCAAAGGAAGCACCGGCUAACUCCGUGCCAGCAGCCGCGGUAAUACGGAGGGUGCAAGCGUUGUUCGGAUUUACUGGGCGUAAAGGGCGCGUAGGCGGUCUUAUAAGCCAGAUGUGAAAGCCCACGGCUCAACCGUGGAAGUGCAUCUGGAACUGUGAGACUUGAGUAUGGGAGAGGAAAGUGGAAUUCCCGGUGUAGAGGUGAAAUUCGUAGAUAUCGGGAGGAAUACCGGUGGCGAAGGCGACUUUCUGGACCAAUACUGACGCUGAGGCGCGAAAGCGUGGGUAGCAAACAGGAUUAGAUACCCUGGUAGUCCACAGCUGUAAACGAUGAUAACUAGGUAUAGGGGGUAUCGACCCCUUCCGUGCCGCAGCUAACGCAAUAAGUGUUCCGCCUGGGGAGUACGGCCGCAAGGUUGAAACUCAAAGGAAUUGACGGGGGCCCGCACAAGCGGUGGAGUAUGUGGUUUAAUUCGAAGCAACGCGAAGAACCUUACCAGGUCUUGACAUCCCUCUGAAUGGCGCUUAGCAGCGCAGGUCUUUCGGGACAGAGGAGACAGGUGGUGCAUGGUCGUCGUCAGCUCGUGUCGUGAGAUGUUGGGUUAAGUCCCGCAACGAGCGCAACCCCCGCCUUUAGUUGCCAGCAUUAAGUUGGGCACUCUAGAGGGACUGCCGGUGUCAAACCGGAGGAAGGUGGGGAUGACGUCAAGUCCUCAUGGCCUUUAUGAUCAGGGCUACACACGUACU